rnacentral:rRNA from 1 species
UUUCUUUUAUGGAGAGUUUGAUCCUGGCUCAGGACGAACGCUGGCGGCGUGCCUAAUACAUGCAAGUCGAG